rnacentral:rRNA from 1 species
AUUGAACGCUGGCGGCAGGCCUAACACAUGCAAGUCGAACGAGUGGCGGACGGGUGAGUCAUGUAUGGGAAACUGCCCGAUGGAGGGGGAUCACUACUGGAAACGGUAGCUAAUACCGCAUACCAUCGGAUGUGCCCAGAUGGGAUUAUCUAGUAGGUGGGGUAACGGCUCACCAAGGCGACGAUCCCUAGCUGGUCUGAGAGGAUGACCAGCCAAACGGGAACUGAGACACGGUCCAGACUCCUACGGGAGGCAGCAGUGGGGAAUAUUGCACAAUGGGCGAAAGGCUGAUGCAGCCAUGACGCGUGUAUGAAGAAGGCCUUCGGGUGGUAAAGUACUUUCAGCAGGGAGGCGUUACUCGCAGAAGAAGCACCGACUAACUCCGUGCCAGCAGCCGCGGUAAUAC